UACGUAGGGUGCGAGCGUUAAUCGGAAUUACUGGGCGUAAAGCGUGCGCAGGCGGUUGUGUAAGUCAGAUGUGAAAUCCCCGGGCUCAACCUGGGAACUGCAUUUGAGACUGCACGGCUAGAGUGUAGCAGAGGGGGGUAGAAUUCCACGUGUAGCAGUGAAAUGCGUAGAGAUGUGGAGGAAUACCGAUGGCGAAGGCAGCCCCCUGGGCUAUUACUGACGCUCAUGCACGAAAGCGUGGGGAGCAAACAGG
rnacentral:rRNA from 1 species